rnacentral:rRNA from 1 species
AUUGAACGCUGGCGGAAUGCUUUACACAUGCAAGUCGAACGGCAGCACGGACUUCGGUCUGGUGGCGAGUGGCGAACGGGUGAGUAACAUAUCGGAACGUAUCCAAUAAUGGGGGAUAACUAAUCGAAAGGUUGGCUAAUACCGCAUACGCCCUACGGGGGAAAGCAGGGGAUCCUCGGACCUUGCGUUAAUGGAGCGGCUGAUGUCUGAUUAGCUAGUUGGUGAGGUAAAGGCUCACCAAGGCGACGAUCAGUAGCUGGUCUGAGAGGACGACCAGCCACACUGGAACUGAGACACGGUCCAGACUCCUACGAGAGGCAGCAGUGGGGAAUUUUGGACAAUGGGCGCAAGCCUGAUCCAGCCAUUCCGCGUGAGUGAAGAAGGCCUUCGGGUUGUAAAGCUCUUUCGCAAGGGAAGAAAACUUACUUUCUAAUAAAGAGUGAGGUUGACGGUACCUUGAUAAGAAGCACCGGCUAACUACGUGCCAGCAGCCGCCGUAA